GAUGAACGCUGGCGGCGUGCCUAAUACAUGCAAGUCGAGCGAACAGACGAGGAGCUUGCUCCUCUGACGUGAGCGGCGGACGGGGGAGUAACACGUGGAGAACCUACCUAUAAGACUGGGAUAACUUCGGGAAACCGGAGCUAAUACCGGGUAAUAUAUUGAACCGCAUGGUUCAAUAGUGAAAGACGGUUUUGCUGUCACUUGUAGAUGGAUCCGCGCCGUAUUAGCUAGUUGGUAAGGUAACGGCCUACCAAGGCAACGAUGCGUAGCCGCCCUGAGAGGGUGGUCGGCCACCCUGGAACGGAGACACCGUGCAGCAUACUACGGGAGGAAGCAGUAGGGAAUAUUCCGCAAUGGUCGGAAGCAUGACGGAGCAACGCCGCGUGAUUGAUGAAGGUCUUCGGAUCGUAAAACUCUGUUAUUGGGGAAGAACAAGUGUGUACGUGACUAUGCACGUCUUGACGGUACCUAAUCAGAAAGCCACGGCUAACUACGUG
rnacentral:rRNA from 1 species